rnacentral:rRNA from 1 species
AUACGUAGGUGGCAAGCGUUGUCCGGAAUUACUGGGUGUAAAGGGAGCGCAGGCGGGAAUGCAAGUUGGAUGUGAAAUACCGAGGCUUAACCUCGGGGCUGCAUCCAAAACUGUGUUUCUUGAGUGAGGUAGAGGAAGGCGGAAUUCCGAGUGUAGCGGUGGAAUGCGUAGAUAUUCGGAGGAACACCAGUGGCGAAGGCGGCCUACUGGGCUUUAACUGACGCUGAGGCUCGAAAGUGUGGGGAGCAAACAGGAUUAGAUACCCUGGUAGUCCACACUGUAAACGAUGAUUACUAGGUGUGGGGGGUCUGACCCCCUCUGUGCCGCAGUUAACGCAAUAAGUAAUCCACCUGGGGAGUACGAUCGCAAGGUUGA